rnacentral:lncRNA from 1 species
GUGCUCUGAACUCUUGGUCUGUGACGAGGGAUUUGGUAGGGUCUCAGAAGCAUACGCACUUCUUGAAGAAGGGUUUCCAUAUGACUUAGAAGUCUCUACAUCUUCAGGUGAAGGACUCUUGGAUUCUCGAACUGGUUUAGGAGCUGCUUGUUCUGCUGGUCUAUGCCACUCCUGACUUCCUGGAUGCUCUGAGCUCCUGGUCUGGGAGGAGGGCUUUGGUAGACUUUCAGCGGCAUAGGAACUCCUUGAUGAGGGGUUUCCAUAUGACUUUGAAGUCUCCACAAGUGAGGAUCUCUUGGACUCUGGCAUUGGUUUAGGAGCUGCUUGUUCUACUGGUUUAUGCCACUCUUGACUUCCUGGACUAUCUGAACUCUUCGCCUGGGACAAGGACUUUGGUAAAGUUUCAGUGGCAUCGGAACUCCUUGAAAUGGAGUUUCUGUUUGAAUUUGAAGUCUCUACAGGUGAUGUCCUCUUGGAUUCUCGUACUGGUUUAGGAGCAACUUGUUCUACAGGUCUAUUCCACUCCUGCUCUGAGCUCUUGAUCUGGGACGAGGGCUUUACUACAGUUUCAGUGUCAUAUGAACUCCUUGAAGAGGGUUUUCCAUACUCUGAAGUCCCUGACAAGUCAGAAACUACUGUUGUCUUUGAGCUAGAGCUUCU